UACGUAGGGGGCAAGCGUUGUCCGGAAUCAUUGGGCGUAAAGAGCGCGUAGGCGGUCCGGUAAGUCCGCUCUGAAAGUCCGGGGCUCAACUCCGGGAGGCGGGCGGAUACUGCCGGGCUAGAGUCCGGAAGAGGCGAGUGGAAUUCCAGGUGUAGCGGUGAAAUGCGUAGAUAUCUGGAGGAACACCGGUGGCGAAGGCGGCAUCCUGGACCGACACUGACACUGAGGAGCGAAAGCCAGGGGAGCAAACGGG
rnacentral:rRNA from 1 species